rnacentral:rRNA from 1 species
AUUGAACGCUGGCGGCAGGUCUAACACAUGCAAGUCGAACGAGUGGCGGACGGGUGAGUAAUGUCUGGGAAACUGCCUGAUGGAGGGGGAUAACUACUGGAAACGGUAGCUAAUACCGCAUACCAUCGGAUGUGCCCAGAUGGGAUUAGCUAGGAGGUGGGGUAAAGGCUCACCUAGGCGACGAUCCCUAGAUGGUCUGAGAGGGUGACCAUCCACACUGGACCUGAGACACGGUCCAGACGCCAACGGCAGGCAGCAGCGGGGACUAUUGCACAAGGGGCUCAAUCCUGAUGCAGCCAUGCCGCGUGUAUGAAGAAGGCCGUCGGGUUGUAAAGUCCUUUCAGCGGGGAAGCGUUAGCCACAGAAGAAGCACCGGCUAACUCCGUGCCAGCAGCCGCGGUAAUUC